CACUAUGCCCAGCCCUAAACUUUGAUAGAUCAUUACACCCACUAUCCGCCAGGGUACUACGAGCAUUAGCUUAAAACCCAAAGGACUUGGCGGUGCUUUACAUCCACCUAGAGGAGCCUGUUCUAAAACCGAUAACCCCCGUUAAACCUCACCCUCCCUUGUUUUUUCCGCCUAUAUACCGCCGUCGUCAGCUUACCCUGUGAAGGUUUAAUAGUAAGCAGAAUUGGUAAAACCCAAAACGCCAGGUCGAGGUGUAGCGAAUGAGAGGGGAAGAAAUGGGCUACAUUUCCUAAACCAGGAAAUACGGACAAUGUACUGAAACGUACAUUAGAAGGAGGAUUUAGCAGUAAGCAGAAAAUAGAGCGUUCCGCUGAAACUGGCCCUGAAGCGCGCACACACCGCCCGUCACUCUCCCCGAGCUAACAUAGAUAUAUUCUUAAUAACCAACACCUGCAAAGGGGAGGCAAGUCGUAA
rnacentral:rRNA from 1 species